ensembl:snRNA U6 U6 spliceosomal RNA
GUGCUUUGGCAGCACAUACACUAAAAUUGGAACGAUAGAGAGUAGACUAGCAUGGUCCCUGUGCAAGGAUGACACGCAAAAUCGUGAAGUGUUCCAUAUUUUU